GGAGAGUGUGGGCGAGGAGAGGGGGUAGUAGAGUGGGGGCAAGCGUUGGGCGGGAUUGUGGGGAGGAAAGGGAGCGGAGGCGGUGCGGGAAGGUAAGAGGGAAAUGUCGGGGCACAACGCAGAGUGUGCUGCAGAAACUGCCGGGCUUGAGUGUGGGAGAGGUGAGUGGAAUUCCCGGUGGAGCGGUGAAAUGCGUAGAGAUCGGGAGGAACACCUGUGGCGAAAGCGGCUCACUGGACCACAACUGACGCUGAGGCGCGAAAGCUAGGGGAGCAAACAGGAUUAGAUACCCCAGUAGUC
rnacentral:rRNA from 1 species